rnacentral:rRNA from 1 species
CCCCUCAAGAUGAGAUAUCCCAUAACGUCAAGUUAGUAAGACCCCUUGAAGACGACGAGGUAGAUAGGGCAGAGGUGGAAGUGCGGUAACGCAUGGAGCUGACUGUUACUAAUAGGUCGAGGGCAUAACCAA